CACGUAGGGCGCGAGCGUUGUCCGGAGUUACUGGGCGUAAAGCGCUUGUAGGCGGUCCACCAAGUUUGGGGUGACAGUUGCCGACUUAAUCGGCAAAGUGCCUCAAAGACUGGCGGACUUGAGGGCCACAGAGGGACAUGGAACUCCAGGUGUAGUGGUGAAAUGCGUAGAUAUCUGGAAGAACACCAAAGGCGAAGGCAGUGUCCUGGGUGGUCGCUGACGCUGAGAGGCGAAAGCCAGGGGAGCGAACGGG
rnacentral:rRNA from 1 species